UACGUAGGGGGCGAGCGUUGUCCGGAAUUACUGGGCGUAAAGGGUGCGUAGGCGGCUGAUCAAGUCAGAUGUGAAAUACCACGGCUUAACUGUGGGGGUGCAUUUGAAACUGGUUAGCUUGAGUGCAGGAGAGGAAAGCGGAAUUCCUAGUGUAGCGGUGAAAUGCGUAGAGAUUAGGAGGAACACCGGUGGCGAAGGCGGCUUUCUGGACUGUAACUGACGCUGAGGCACGAAAGCGUGGGGAGCGAACAGGAUUAGAUACC
rnacentral:rRNA from 1 species